GAGAAGGUGGCUCAGUGGUAGAGUGCUUGCCUUGCAUGCAUGAGGCUCUGAGUUCAAUUUUUCAGCAUUAUAU
rfam:Dipodomys ordii contig_5706, whole genome shotgun sequence.